AAUGGGGUGGGAACCUUUUGAUGCGAAAAGUGGAACGAUACAGAGAAGAUUUGCAUGGCCCCUGCGAACGGACGACAAGCACUAAUCGAGACGUGUGCCAUGUGAGA
rnacentral:snRNA from 1 species